GGGCUCGGUCCGCCGAUGAGCUGUCGGCCGGUCUGCGGCGGACUCAGAUUUAAAUUGACCGAACACACACGUAGAGGCUCAGGCUGAAGUGUUCCGGGACGCGGGUUCGAUUCCCGCCGCCUCCAUUU
rnacentral:tmRNA from 1 species